rnacentral:rRNA from 1 species
UACGGAGGGUGCGAGCGUUGUCCGGAUUUAUUGGGUUUAAAGGGUGCGUAGGCGGAUUGAUAAGUCAGUGGUGAAAGCCUGCAGCUUAACUGCAGAACUGCCAUUGAUACUGUCAAUCUUGAAUAUGUUUGAUGUGGGCGGAAUAUGACAUGUAGCGGUGAAAUGCUUAGAUAUGUCAUAGAACACCGAUUGCGAAGGCAGCUCACAAAGCCAUUAUUGACGCUGAGGCACGAAAGCGUGGGGAUCAAACAGG